rnacentral:lncRNA from 1 species
CACAGAACUUUGCCACGUGUUUGCAGCAGGGAGGAGCCUGGCCCCUCCUGGGUGGAAGCCGGAAUUCAAUCUGUGAGAUUGAAGGUGUGUGGCAACCCUAUGUCAAGCAAGAAUAUCAGUACUACCUUUCCAACAGCACGUGCUCACUGUUCAGCAUGGCUAGGGAGGCCUCAGGAAACUUACAAUCACCUUGGAAGGUACCUCUUAACAGGGCGGCAGGAGAGAGAAUGAGAACCCAGCAAAGGGAGAAGCCCCUUAUAAGACCAUCAGAUCUCAUGAGAACUCACUCACUAUCAUGAGAACGGUAUGAGGGAACUGCUCCCAGGAUUCAAUAAUCUCCACCUGGCCCCUCCCUUGACACGCAGGGAUUAUGGGAACUACAAUUCAAGAUGAGAUUUGGAUGGGGACACCGCCAAACCAUAUCACAAGUGUAGCUAAGGAGGUGGAGAAAAGGGAACCCUGUACAAUGCUGGUGGGAAUGCAAAUUGGUGCAGCCAAUAUAGAAAACAGGAAGUUUCUCAAAAAAUUAAAAAUAGAACUAAGAGAUGGUUCAGCAAUCCCCCUUCUGGGAAUGUAUCCAAAAUAAAUAAAAUCAAUGUCUGGAAGAGAUAGCUGCAGUCCCAUGUUUGCUGCAGCAUUAUUUACAGUAGCAAAAACAUUUAAACAACUUAAAUGUCUGUGGACAAAUGAAUGAAUAAAGAAAAUGUGGUAUAUAAAGACAAUGAAAUGUUAUUCAGCCUAAAGAAAGAAAUCCUGCAUCUGGGACAAGUAUGAACCUGCAGGGUAUUAUGCUAAGUUAGAUAAGCCAGACACAGAAGGACAAAUAUUGCCA